UAAUUUUCAAGUGAAAUUUAUUUUCAUGUGUCCUUUUUUCAAAAAAAAAAUGAGCCUUUUAAAUGUGUCCUGAUAAUUUCUGAGAUGUCUUUUUUUUUUUCCGCUAAAGUUUAACUGCUUUUGUUCUGUGGUAAGAACUUCCGCGUAAAACCUCUCUGAACUAAAGGAAAAUUAUUCAAGUGUCCUUUGUAGAAUGACUUGAUGAAGUUAAAACUCUAAUACUUCGAACGAGUAUUUCAUUUUCAAAUUUGAAAUUACCUUUUAUGAGUUGAACAAGAAUUCUUUUUCAUUGAUUUUGAAGUGCCAGUGGUGGAAGUUACUACCCUCACCUGUUUAUGAACUUGUAUAAUACAUUGUGGUGGUUGUUACCUGCGUAUGUUAUUCCAGAAUAAUGAAGGCUUACAAAUGGUACUUUUGAUUAGUAAAAUGCUUUUUAACAAGUACAAGUGUACAACUAACAAGUUAAAUUGCAAGUAUCUGUGGCAUAAGUUAUUUGGAUUGUUUGACGAAACUAUUGUUGCUCCAUCUUCAAUUGGUGAAUCUUUUUGGCAGCACAAAAAAUGAGAAGAUCUUAUGUCGAGAGCUUUUGCUGGUGCUUCAUUGUAUGUUUGAUUUGAUCACAAUAAUGAUCCCAGCAACCUCAGCCACGAUUUGGUGAAUCUCAUCUCUGCCUUAGGGACCUUUGGCGGUUGCUGUGAUUUCUCAAGUAUGAUGUCAGUAUUUGGUGAAACAGUAGUCAUCUGAAUUUAUAUUUCUUACUGUCAACCAUAUGCAAGCUGGGAUUGGGCUCCAGCAUCUCUUCUGCCUCACUAUACCUCCCAUGUUGUUCCAACACUUCAUCAGGUCUCUUUUGGAUUUCGGCAUAGCCCACUUAACUCCUGUGACUGCACAGUGAAUAAAAAAAUGAUUGAGGGUAUCAGAUUCCUUCCCACAAAAAAAACAUCUGGAAUAUAAGUCAGACAUGCCUCUGUAGCAACCAACAUGUGCUUUGUAUGGUAUUUUAACCUUACCGAUAUGUUCCCAAGGCCAUAUGCAUUGAUUUCCAGAAGCAUUAAAAUUGUAUAAGCAGAAUUAAUUGAGAAUAGGCCUUUACUAGCUUCCAACUUGAUCUCUUUUUUUCUUUUUUUUUAAAUCUCCCAAUCAACUUUUUGACAUUCUACCCUAAAAUCAAGCGCUUCCCAUUGGAACUUAACCUAAAAGUAUCACUUCUAGACUCAAACACCCAAGUAUAAGAUAGUGAUAAGUUGGUAAAAAAUCCCAACUUAUCUAUGGUCCAGGUAAUUUUCUGCUGGCCGAUAUUGUGGAAUGUCACAUGACUGCUAUUGUAACUUAGCUUCCACCCCCGUCCUCUUAAGCUCUUUGCACAAAGAUGCUGUAAAACUUCCAUACUUGAUGUCAGAUGAUGUAAAAUUUUGCAUCUUUAAGUAUCAACACUCAACUUUACUUUUUGUUUUCUACUUUCUAACUUAGUUUUCUUUUUUCAGUUUUUUGUUUUGUUUCUUGAGAUCAGUUUAAUAGAUAUAUAGACCGAUAUACUUGAUGCCAACCUAUUCUCUUCUAAUUUUGACUAUAAAUAAGAUGUACAUGUGGAGUAUGAAAAAGCGAUUGUUGUUUAUAAAUAACUUCAUAAUAUUUCUUGGUCUUCACAAGAAAAAGUAGAAUACUUCUCCAAAAAUAUCAAUUAAGGGAAUGAUCCUGAAAUAUAAUUAUACAGUACCUCUUAGCUCUUUUGUGGUGAACUAUUUAGAAUUGAUUCACAAGAAUUUAUAUAUGUUUGUUUCAUAAAAAAAGAAGGAACUAUAUAAUUGUUAACCCGUUUUCUUUUCUGGUUCAUUACUGAUGCUUGUCUUAAUUAAACUACUUUCUAGUCAAGUCGCAUGAAGAAUUGCAAAAAUGAUCAAUCAAGCUACUUGAAUGUGGAUCACAGGUACUAGUUCCUGUUAAAGUGGUAUAAACUUUAAAGUACAAAAGAACAUGUCACUUUAACACCUAAAACUGGAAAGCAUCACACCUUAGCACAUAAAUGAUGUUGCUAUUCAACUAGAUGUGAUACACUGUUAAUAGAUUGCCUCAUCUUUCCAUCUGUUCAAGCCUUGGGGACGUGUAUCUGUGUGGGUGGAAGGUAGUAGGUACCCCGUGGAAUUAGUCAAGGUACGUGCAAGCUGAAGAUAUACUUGGCACUCUGAUUUUAUUAUUGCGUGACAACGAGCUUUUUAAUAAGUUACAGUUUGCUCGCCAAUUACCUUGAGUUAUGAUGAACUUGAAGGCCAUUAUUUUGUCCACAAUGUGGCAAAGAAUCUGUUCUUUUUUUACUCACUUCUCAUUUCCUGAUAAGCUGUUCUAUGCUCCUUAGAUCGGCACAUCAGCUAUAUGCUUUCUGCUGAAUAAUCAAGAUUUUAUUAAGCUAGUCCAAGUUGGAAAGCUUGAAGAAGCUGUAUUAUAUGGCAGGACUUAAAUUGAAAACUUCUACAGGUUGUGGGAGACUAUGAUGACUUGGUCAAGCUACUGGAGGAAAUUCUGUCAAACCAUUUCGUAGCGGUGUUAACUGAUUUGCGUUGUAUUAGUAUGAGCAGCUAUUGAAUUCUUUCCUCAUUUGGGCAUGGGAAUUGGACUUGUAAUGUAGAAAUCGAGGAAGCAUGCUGAAUGGCAAGGAAAGGAAUUGCAAGUUUUGAAGUGGUUUGGCUUUUAUCUU